rnacentral:rRNA from 1 species
AUUGAACGCUGGCGGCAUGCCUUACACAUGCAAGUCGAACGGUAACAGGUCUUCGGAUGCUGACGAGUGGCGAACGGGUGAGUAAUACAUCGGAACGUGCCCGAUCGUGGGGGAUAACGGAGCGAAAGCUUUGCUAAUACCGCAUACGAUCUACGGAUGAAAGCGGGGGAUCUUCGGACCUCGCGCGGACGGAGCGGCCGAUGGCAGAUUAGGUAGUUGGUGGGAUAAAAGCUUACCAAGCCGACGAUCUGUAGCUGGUCUGAGAGGAUGAUCGGCCACAUUGGAACUGAGACACGGUCCAGACUCCUACGGGAGGCAGCAGUGGGGAAUAUUGCACAAUGGGCGAAAGCCUGAUGCAGCAACGCCGCGUGAGUGAUGAAGGC